rnacentral:lncRNA from 1 species
AAUAUCUCAACAGGUGGUACUUCAAUUUCAUAAGCAAAUGUGCUUUCUCUACUCCAACAAAAAGAAAAUGUUUUUGCAAACUAUGUUUUGUCCAUAGUGUCUCUUUUCCUCAAUUUAUGAACAUGAAACCUUAAAGUUUUAUUUGUUUCUUUUCCAGCCAUUUGAUUGGAUUAAAAAGACCUUUUUCGAGAAAGCAAACACUGAAGAGAAGUGAAGAAGAAUCAACUUUCUGGUAACAGCUUUCUGAUUUCUUCUUUCAGGUUGCUGAGAAAAACCAUGAACAAAGUCGAUAUGAAUAUUGUUGUUUAAUUUUGCAUUUUAUUGAUGAGUCCUUGUUGGCAUUAUUCAUGACACAAUGAUUUGAGAAUUAAACGCUUUUGUUUCUUGUUAUAUGUACUUUGGCUU